rnacentral:lncRNA from 1 species
AUAUAUAUAUAUAUAUAUAUAUAUAUAUAUAUAUAUAUAUAUAUAUAUAUAUACCUUUUUCUUUUUCUAACCGACUGACUUUUAUUGAUACAUUUUUUUCUUGUUUAAAAUGGUGCACCUUUCUCCUAUUUCACUUGUUCCACUCAAAAGUCAACCCAUCACCUAACACUUUAACUUUUCCAUAAUUCCUCAAAAUUCAAGUACUCAUGAGAUGUGACAAGGUUCAAUAUAUGGUCGAUUCAAACAAAGGGGUACAAUUUGUAAUGUGGUUAUCAAAGAAGCGAGAUUAUAGGCUCAAGUAGGUUAACUACGAUACAUAAUAUUUAGGUGGGUACUAUAUAUAUAUGGCUUAACAAAGAACCGCCUAUCACUUCUCAGACUGAACAAGACAAUUAUUUAGCUUUGCAUAUACAAGGGGCAAGUUCUAGACAUCAAAUAUAAUGUACAGAAUACAUACAAAUCUCACACAGACAUGGAACUUAACUCAUUCAGGAUUAGUUUUUAUCACAACACUCCAGUCAAAGCAGUUAAACAAAUUUAAGAAUCUACAAUUUAAGGUAUUUAUACUAGAGUCAAAAAUUCAGCCGAAGCGUCACAACUAGAGUACUGACUAUUCUCAAGGCAUCACAAAGCUCAGUGAUAUUGCUGAAAUUAAAUGCAUAGCCACGUGGUUCCUACUCCUAAAAAUUAGGACUAACUACACCUAGUUCAACUAAAAACCUUGGACAAGAACCACGACCCAAAAGGGGGGGGGGGGAAUUACUACACUAUGUACAUACAAAAAAUUAUUUUUGGUAUUUUCUUUAGACUUACUUCCCUCAAAUAAACUUUUUAGAUCUUUUGUUGGAAAAAGUCCAGAAUUUUUAUGUUUUCCGCCUAAAAACAAUUAACAAGAAACACAAAAAUAAAAAAUAAAUUCUAAAAAAACAAAUGCUUAAAACAAAUAACUAAAACAAUUAGCUAAUGAAAACGACACUUACUACAACAACAAAAACAACUAACAAUUACUAAUUUCUACAAGUUCCCACCCCACACUUAGAUCAUGUAUUGUCCUUAGUGCAUGCACAAAUUGACAAAACAAUAAACAAAAAGAGUAGGGUGCAAGGACACUCCCUGAUCAAGCAUCAUCUUCAUCCUCAGACGCUCUCCACUCUACAUCAUGUUCGUCCUCCUCCUUCUCAUCAUCUCCCUCGUCAUCUGACUGCCCUGGCUCAGCCUCAGACUGCUCAGGUGUGUUAAUAUAUGUGAACCAGUUUGACUGAGCGUAGAGUUUAAGAAAAAAUAAAGACUUUUGAAAUUUGUGAUCCUAUACAAAUUAAAAAGGGGAUCAGAGUAUUUGUGUGGUUAUAAAAAUUCUUAUUAAAUGUAAAAUUAUACGUUUGAGGUAAAUUGUUUCUAAAUUUAGAAAGGGGUCAUUUUUUUGGAACGGACCAAAACAGGAAUAGGUUCACGUAAAUUGCAAAGGAGAGAAUAGUAAAUUAGAGUACACCUAGUGAUGGUAUUAAAUAAACAAAUCUUGAUCUGCUUUGCAAAAAUUGGUCCAAACCAAGAAUCUCAACUCAUGGGCAAUAUCUGAUCAGGCUCUAUUGGUUUUGCUACAUAAUUGUGAAGCCAAUUAGCAAAACUAAUGGAAAAAAAAACAUCUGCAUGAAAAUGUAAACAGAUUCAGGGUGUGUUUGGUACGAAGAAAAAUAUUUUUCGGAAAAUAUUUUCUAAUUUUUCUAUAUUUGGUUGGCUUAAAUGUUUUGAAAAAUAUUUAUUUUAUCAAACAACAAUAAAAAUAUUUUCUAAAACUCCUUUUCAACCUUUCCCACCCCAUCCCUCUCUCCAAAAAAGGCUUUCUUUUUUAAAUUUUAAUUUUUCCGUUACCACUCACCACUACCUCUCUACCCCACCCCCACCCCCCUUAACGCAAAAAAAAAAAUUAAUUUUUUACCUUAUUUUAUUAUUCUUGCAAUUUCAAAUUUUCUUUUUUUAUUCGUUUUUCUGUACCACCCGCCCUCACCCCGCACAAUUUUAUUUUUGUAAUUUCAUAUUUUUGUCUUUUUAUUUUUCUGCCCCAUCCCCCAUGAAUUAAGCAACUGACUUUCAGAUACUGUGACAUGGAAAAACAAGCAAAUAACUAUGCGACACGUGGAAAAUUAACUAUACUGAUGCCCUCAAAAUACAAACUUUGACCUGGAGAUCAUUCUGCAAGAUAGUCGAUAUAAUGUCAGACCAAGCAAAGUUGCAGCAGUAAAUAGGCAUAUGGAAUCACUUAAACAUGGCCGGGCCAGAGUUCAUAUUUGUGUUUUGCACUUUCGCGUCAAUCACCUAGAGCACAACAAUAAUAGACUAGGUGACGUGGUGAUGAAACACAAUUACAGGGAGACCAAUAAAAUUGCUGACAUGCUGCCGAAGGAAGGGGAAAGGAAAAAAAAAAUUUGAAGAUGUUUUUUUAACAACAGUUCCUUCGGUGUUUGUCAAUCAUGUUCUCUGCACAGACAUCGCAGGAACUAUGUUUGAAAGGAAAACAAUGGGCUGUAAUAGUGAUAUUAAUAGCAUGCUAGGGGGGGAGGAUAUCGUAUACCCGCCUACAAACACUCUUUUUUACACCCUAACGGAUAGUUUGUUUUAAUUAUAACAUGCAUCCGCAUAACAAAAAUAAUAAAAAAUUGAAAGUAGACUCCUAAAAACAAUGUCAAGGUUGGUUAAUAAAGUCUUUCAUCCUUUUAAUGAAUUCAGUACUGUUAAUACAAAAACAAAAUACAUGAUUGGAGCGUCCAAUUCUAAAGGAAUAUAAUCGUUGUUUGCUGAUUCACCUUACUUCAUAGUAGGAACUUGCUACCUAAAAUGUUGUGUUAGCUACCCCUUUAUGGUCUGCCUCUAGGAAUGGUGAACAAAAGCCUUACGUACAUGCUUUCAACCUGGUAAUCACCUAUAGAAAAUUGAACAAUUUACACUUAACCUUUGACGUCUUCCUUAUUUACUGUUUGCACCCGAUCAUAGUUCAGACGUAAAACUAGCAGCAUAUCCCCUUUGUCUAAGAGUAGGUAAUUACGGAGUAGACCAAUCAACUCUCAAAAUGUAACAGAAGAUCUGUAGCUUCAAGCAGCAACAAUAAGACCCUUUAUUACAUGAACACUAGAAUACUGUUUCCGUGCUAACAAAGACAACAACAACAACAACAACUCAGUAUAAUCCCACUUAGUGGGAUCUGAGAAGGGUAGUGUGUACGCAGACCUUACCUCUACCCUGGGAGAGACUGUUUCCAAAUAAACCCCCGGCAUCCUUCCCUCCAAGAACUUCCCACCUUGCUCUUUGUUAAGAUGAAGAAACCCCAUGCUAAUUUUGUGAUCCAUGAAAUCACACAAGGGGUAGAAGAAGAAAGGAAGAAGAUGAAGAAAAGUACAGAAAUGAAGAUGAAGAAGAGUGGUCUUCGAUAUUUCUGAGGUUGUCUAAUAUUUGUUUGGAUAAGAAGCAACUGGGCCUUCUGAUAUUGGGCUUAAGAUAAUUUGCUACUAGCUGGGCCAGUUGCAAGAUAUCAUAUAUGGGUUGGGUGCAGACAGCUCUUAUCUUUUAUUUUCCAUAUUCUUUUAUUAAUUUGUAAAUAUCAUGUGAUUAGUUAUAUAGUAGCCAAUAGAAUAUGGACAAGUGUAU